CGCAGAGAGGGGCUAGGCCAUAGGCUUAGCUCUAAUGCGGCAUACCGGUCUCAAGCCCGG
rnacentral:ribozyme from 2 species